GGGCACCUGGUGGAAUGGCAGACACAGCGGCCUUAAAAGCCGCAGGCGGGCAACCGCCGUGCGGGUUCGAGUCCCGCGGUGCCCAC
rnacentral:tRNA from 1 species